UACUCGAGUGGCGAACGGGUGAGUAACACGUGGGUGAUCUGCCCUGCACUUCGGGACAAGCCUGGGAAACUGGGUCUAAUACCGGAUAGGAGCCAUUUUUAGUGUGAUGGUUGGAAAGUUUUUUCGGUGUAGGAUGAGCUCGCGGCCUAUCAGCUUGUUGGUGGGGUAAUGGCCUACCAAGGCGGCGACGGGUAGCCGGCCUGAGAGGGUGGACGGCCACAUUGGGACUGAGAUACGGCCCAG
rnacentral:rRNA from 1 species